CGCACCCGCCCGGUCGCCAUGGAGACGCGCAGCCGCGCAGUCCAACUCCCACCCCGAGCCCCGCACCGCGGCUGGUCGUGGUGGCCGCGGAAGACAGCAGUCUUUGGGGGCCGGGCGGGAGAAGCGUCCAUGCAUCCGUGGAAGCAAGCUGAGGUGCUUCUGGGACGGCGCGUUCACCUGGGGCCGACAACGGGGCGGGGCGGGAACUGCGGGUCUGGGACAGCCGGGCAGGGGGACACAGGUAGGAGGACCGGGGGCCAUGGAGGACCGGCAGCAGGGCGAAGUCUACGGGGCGGGGGCAGAGGGGCCAGGACAGCCGGGGACCAGCAGGGGGACUCGGGUAGGAGGACUGGGGCAGCGGGCGACAGGCAGGGAGGCGAGGGUCACAGGCAGUGGGCAGUAGGGGACCCGGGGACCGGCGCGGGGGUGGAGGGUUGCGUCCUGCGGCUCGUGCUCCCGCCCUGGGGUAUGAGUCUCUUUCUCACCACCCGUGAGUCUUUGGGCCCUGGUGGGAGGCGGCGGGGUUGAGAGCGUCCGCGGGCCCCCACCCCUGCCACGCAGAUGCCUCAGAGCGCAGGUGUGCAAUGGUGGGACCCGAGUCUGCACUAGGAAGGUACAAAGCUGAAAAAGCGAUCACCUGUGGGAAGUUAAUUGCAGGUCACUUUUUGUUUUGUUUUUACUUUGUGCUUUUCUGUGCAUUCCACGUAUUCCUCGUUGAUCUGGGUGUCUUUCAAAAUUAUGGAAAACAAACAUUUUUGAGAUAUAAGCUACACACCGCAAAACGUCCACUUCAAUGAGUUUUGACAAAUGCAUAUCCCCAGGUAGCGUCUACCAUAGUCAAUUAUAGAACAUUUCCAUCAGAGGCAGCCACUCUUCUGAUUCCAGUAUCCCCAUAUCUUAGUUUUGUCUGUUCUGAAAUAUCACACAAAUAGAGUCGUGCAAAAUACACUUUUGUGAUGGCUUCUUUCCCUUUACGUGAUAUCUCUGAGAUUCAGCCACGUUGCGCGUAUCCGUAACUGCGGAGUAGUGUGCCAUGGAAAACACGCCACAUUCCGUCAUUUAUUCACACUUUGGACACUAGGGUGGUGUCUAAGGUUUGGCUAGUGUGAAUAAAGCUGUCUUGAGAGGUCUUUUUGUAGGCAUAUUUUUUCUUCCUCUUAGGUAAUUACCUAGAAGUGAAAUUUCUGGGUCCUGGGUGUGUAUGGAACGUUAUUAAAACAUGCUAAGUGGUCGGGUGCACUGGCUCAUGCCUGUAAUCCCAACACUUAGGAAGGCUGAGGCAGGUGGAUCACCCGAGGUCAGGAGUUCAAGACCAGCCUGGCCAACAUGGCAAAACCCCAUCUCUACUAAAAAUACAAAAAUUAGCUGGGCUUGGGGGUGCAUGCCUGUAAUCCCAGCUACUCAGGAGACUGAAGCAGGAGACUUGCUUGAACCCUGGAGGCAAAGGUUACAGUGAGCUGAGAUCACAUCACUGCACGCCAGCCUGGGUGACAGAGCAAGACUGCAUCUCUAAACAACAACAAAAAGAUGGUAAGCAUUUCACACUUACGCCAGUGAUGUGUGAGGUCCAGCUGCUCUGCGUUCUCUGUCAACACUUGGUAUUGUCAGUCUUUUGACGGCAGCAGGCCUUGUGGGUAGAAAAUGGUGUCUCAGUGCCGUUUAUUUGCCCUCAGGAGGGAGUCGCCAGUUCUUGCAGUAAGAAACCACUGGCAUGCACAGAAAGGAGAGGGCCAAGGUGACGUGCUCAGGCACCAGCAGCAUCUACACAAGUGGUAGUUGGAACAGUGUAGAUUUCAGCACCGGAUCUCGUGGUCAGGACCGUGUGGGUACCAUGAGCUCAGAGAGUGGGAGCCAUGUGCUGGAUUAGUCACAGUGGGCUGCCUGGAAGAGGCAGACUGUGAAGGUUGAGAAGCUGAAAAGGAGGAGAGAAAAAGGGAAGGCAGUCUUGGAAGGGGCACAGUUGGGGCCAACAUCUGGCAUUGGGUAACCAAACAAUCAGUGGAGGCUGAACUUGCAGUUUUCUGAUUGUAAAGCAAGUAAGUCAGAGUGCUGUCUCAUCAACCAGGCCCACCCAGACUCUGGGAGGUCUGGGGCUAUCUCCACCCCCAGAGCAAGGCCGCCCCAGUUCCUAAAGUUCAGAUUAGAGGCGUGGCCCUUCCAAAGACAGGGUAGCCUGCUGCCUCACAGCAUCCACAGCAGCCUCGCCUCUCUGCAGUCUCAAGGCUUGCAGUGGCCAACUCACAGAGGGGCCAAAGCUCACUCACAGCGGUGGGAUCUGGCAAUGGAGUGGGGAAUAGGGCGGAACCUGCAGCUGCAAAUUGAAAACGUUCUAUUUUCCCAUCUAAAAUAUUUAGGUAAUUUGUUUUUCUUCUAGAAGUGCCAGCAGUCCAUUAAUUUUCAGUUAUAGUAAUGUGAUCAUCUCUGUGCAUUCCUUCCCGAGGCUCUUGAAGGUCUUGGUGUGAAUAAAAUCAAACAGAAUAAUACAAAAACAGUGAAAUGAGAACUUCCGAGUAAAUGGCUGUGCAGAGCUACCUGGGGCACAGGCAGGUGAGCAGGAACGAAGCUGCUGUGAGCCAGGCAGGAGUCCAGGUCACCUGUGAAGUUGUGGGACCUGCAGCAAAGCACUGCCUUUCCCCAGACUCAGGUCACCCAUCUGCAGAACAAGGUCUCCAAUUUCUCUUUCAAGCCAGAGGCCUACAGUGGCUGAGCACUUGCCAGAAUUGCAGCCCUGGGCUUGAUGAAGAAGAGCAUCUUUAAACCACACAACCGUGUACUCUCAUAUGAACCCAUUGUUCAGACGAGGAAACCGAGGCACAGUACAAUUCAAUAAUUUGCCCAAAGUGAAAAAGAUGCCUCCAGGGAACGACCUACGACAGCAGCCCUCCCAGCUGGCAUUCUGGCUGCUGUGUGCUGUGAUGGGUGCCAGCACCUCUUAGUUGGGGUGAAGGGGAGGGGCCGGCAGCAUAGCAAAGGGGAAAUCCUGGAUCGUCGCCUCUCUCUAACCCUCUCCAUUACCAGCAUCAACCUGCAAGUCGUCACCUUGAGCCAAAGACAGAAAGAGCCCCACCCUCACUGGGCUGCUCCCUGCUCAGAGCUCCACGCUUCCUGGUAGAGUCCCCUGAAGUUCUCCUGCCCAGAAGUUCCUUCUUUCUGCCCAGACCUCACUCAGCACCGUCAUCCUAGGAAUAAAAUCCCAGGAAUAAACUCAUCAUUCCAGGCCUCCCAGGAACUUGGGUUCUGGUCUUGUCUCUGGCCCGCCCUCUCGUGCAGCUGCUGGGGGCCUCCAGCCCCUGCUCACUCACCCGCGCCCUCUGCACCCUCCACUUGAGAGAAUUCUGGUCAUUCCCUUGGCCCUGCCCGGCCCCGUUGUCUGGGAGUUGCUGGAGGGGUGGCUCGUCCCCUCGCCCUCUCCCUGUCUCUUGGUGUGUCCGGCCAGGGCUCACACAGAGGCAGCUCCAGGGAAAUUCCUGUGGCUCAACUGCUGGGUCCUGCAUUGCCACCACAGUCACAGCCAGCUUGAGCGGUGAUGGGUGGGAAGAAGUGAGGCAGGGGAGCUGACUCGCAGGAGGGGCUUUCAGGAAGGAGGCAUCCUACAACCCCAGGGCACCAUGGGGGUGCCCCUCAGAGGCUUGAAAGCCCCUUUGGUCCUGGGCAGCACCUCCAGAGGGAGCACAGCCAGCAGUUUGGGGUGGACCUGCCGAGAUCUUGUCUUCUGCAUAAACAGGCACACAGUGUGGGCUUCCCUGCCACUCACAUCUUGAUUGGUGGCUUUCCUGCGUCCUCUCUAUAGCAGAGGCUUGGUCAUCUUAACCACUGACAUCUCUUACAUUCUCUAACUGGCCUCUGAUUGGAAGACAGGGCUCUCCUGUCACAAUCAUCAUUACUUUGUUUUACCUUCGAUGUUGCACUGGUCAUCUUUGUACGGUGACUUCUCUCUGUGUGAGUAUUUCCACAACAUAGACCUCUAGAGGUGGAAGUGCCAGGUAAGUUCUGGGAGAUUCCACCAAAUUGUCUUCCAAACCCCUGUGCCAGAUGCGCUGAUGGGAGUGUGCCUGUUCCUUGCAUCCCCUCCCUGGCUGCCAUUACCAAGGGGGCUGUCUCCGCUGGGCUCUAAGCACACGUGUUGCCAUUGCUGUUUAAUUUUCAUCAUCUUAAUGGUGGUGAGGCCAAGCAAACACGCCCCGGCCAUGGUGUGUCCUGUGGAUGCCUGUGUUUUUCUCUGCCCAUUUUUGUCUCCUGUUGAUCACCUUCCACCACCAGGUCCUUCUGAAACGGCUUUGUCCUGUGUGUGGGGAGAAGUGCAUGGGGUUGGCCUGGGGCUGCCCACGAUGAUGCUGCCUUGGUCCUAGAGAGAAGCACGUGGGGUUGGCCCGGGGCUGCCCACGACGGUGCUGCCUUGGUCCUGGCUUCUGGCCUGCUGCAUGGUGGGACUCCACCUGGCUGGUUCCAGCCCCAUCUGCCCCCACUUCUGCUGCCUGUGCAUGGCGUCCAGGAAGAACUGGGGCCCAGGACAGAAGGAAAUGGGAAGAAUGUCAGGGUGUGUACAUCACCCAGAAGUACAAAUGUUCCUUGAAAAUUCUGAGCUGCUCUGUCCUGAGCUCCAAGAAACUUGCAGCUGUGCUGAAUUAUGUGUGGCCACGGCGACUAAGGAGUCACAGCUAAGAAUGUACUGAGACAGGGCCAGCUUCUCAGAUUGCAGAACUGAUAGCUCAGAUCCUGGGGCUGUGACAGCUGCACCCACAGGGUCCUCCUGCUUUGGCCUCUCCCAUGCAUAUCUUAGCCAGGAAUCUUUCCAGAUUCUAGUUGCUAGAGGCAAAAAUCUCAACCCCAAAUGGCUUAGCAAAGGGAAUGUAUUGAUUUGUGUGAUGAAAAGUCUAGAACAAAGUUCAAUUUCAGGUGUGGCUUGAUCCAGCAGCUCAACACUAUUGCUGAGAACCAGGAUUCUCCGUGUAUGUUUGCAGUUCCGCCUUCAUCCUGCGACCCCAAGAUGCUUCUGGCAGCUUCUAAGGCUGCAAGCUUCAUGAUUCGCCUCCAGCAAGAGAAAGCUUUGCACCAGCAUCCCAGCCGAAUGCUCAUGCUCCACCCUGAUGGGCCUAGCUGGGGUCGUGUGUCCACUUCCAAACAAUCACCGGCCAGGAGGAUAGAAUGUGCUGACUGGGUGCCCUGGGCUCCAAGCUCCAGCCCUGAGGCCCCUGUGGACUCAGUUUCCCUGGACUGUGAGGACCCCUAGCAGAAGACCAAGGCGUUGGGCACGGAGGGCAAGGUAUUGAGAGCCUUGCCUCAAACCGGUGCCGUGUGGCUGCGCUUCCAUGGUCCCGAGGGACCAGGAGACUCUUCCUGUGUGAUCGGAGUUGUUCCCACGUGUCCCCAGGCCCAGCCAGUUGCCGACAGCCAGAGUGGUACCAACACUGGUGACCGACUGGUGGGCGUUACCAGCUUCCCACACUGGGCUGCUUCUCUCCUGCAGGACGGGGAGGGCGGGGGGAGAGAAGGGCCUGGGCUACGGGGGCACUGAGACAUCUCCCCACCCCACCCCUGCCCAGGAAAGGGGGGCGGGGCUUGUGCAGAGGCAUAGAAACUGUUGACCUGAUCAGCAGUUUAAAAUGUUGUUUCAGGCCGGGUGCCGUGGCUCACACCUGCAAUCCCAGCACUUUGGGAGGCCGAGGCGGGCAGAUCACCUGAGGUCAGGAGUUCGAGACCAGCUUGGCCAACAUGGAAAAGUAACUUUGAAGUGACCAGCACGCCUUUGGUUUCUGUCUACUUUCCUCGGGCCUCUUCUGUCUGUGAAACCGACCUCUGACCUCCCCUCGGCUCAUUAGAGCGUUCGUUCUAUUUUAUGGAAAGACGUGUUGCCCGAUUCUAGAGUCGCAAAUAAAACACAACUAAGAUAUUGAAACUAAAUGUGUUGUUUUGUCUCUGACACUCCUUCGGGGGAGAAGCACUGGG